AACGAACGCUGGCGGCGUGCCUAACACAUGCAAGUCGAACGGAAUUAGAGAGCUUGCUCUUUAAUUUAGUGGCGCACGGGUGAGUAACGUGUAGAUAAUCUGCCCGACGAUCUGGGAUAACAGUUCGAAAGGACUGCUAAUACCGGAUAAGCCCACGGGGUCUUUGGACUCUGCGGGAAAAGGGGGGGACCUUCGGGCCUUCUGUCGUCGGAUGAGUCUGCGUACCAUUAGCUAGUUGGUAGGGUAAAGGCCUACCAAGGCUACGAUGGUUAGCUGGUCUGAGAGGAUGAUCAGCCACACUGGAACUGAGACACGGUCCAGACUGCUACGGGAGGCAGCAGUGGGGAAUUUUGCGCAAUGGGCGAACGCCUGACGCAGCAACGCCGCGUGAGUGAUGAAGGCUUUCGGGUCGUAAAGCUCUGUCAGAGGGAAAGAAGUGUAUUGUGGCUAAUAUCCGCGAUACUUGACGGUACCCUCAAAGGAAGCACCGGCUAACUCCGUGCCAGCCGCCGCCGUAACAC
rnacentral:rRNA from 1 species